AUUUGUCUGGUUAAUUCCGAUAACGAACGAGACCUUAACCUGCUAACUAGAUACUUUUAUUCUAUAAAUGUCAUCUUCUUAGAGGGACUAUGUAAUCUAAAUACAUGGAAGUUUGAGGCAAUAACAGGUCAGUGAUGCCCUUAUAUGUCCUGGGCUGCACGCGUGCUACACUGAUGCAUACAACAAGUGCCUAACCAGACAUGGUACGGCAAUCUCGAAUAUGCAUCGUGAUGGGGAUAGAUCUUUGCAAUUAUAGAUCUUGAACGAGGAAUUCCUAGUAAGUGCAAGUCAUCAUCUUGCAUUGAUUAUGUCCCUGCCCUUUGUACACACCGCCCGUCGCUCCUACCGAUACCGGGUGAUCCGGUGAACCUUUUGGACUCAUUGAGAAAGAUAAGUAAACCAUAUCACCUAGAGGAAGGAGAAGUCGUAACAAGGUUUCCGUAGGUGAACCUGCRGAAGGAUCA
rnacentral:rRNA from 1 species